rnacentral:tRNA from 1 species
AUUAAAAUAAUUUAAAAAAAAAUAUUGAUUUGUGGAGUCAAAAAUAUGAAAAUUCAUUUUAAAUC